CCUACGGGAGGCAGCAGUGGGGGAUAUUGCACAAUGGGGGAAACCCUGAUGCAGUGACGCCGCGUGGGUGAAGAAGUAUUUCGGUAUGUAAAGCCCUAUCAGCAGGGAAGAAAGAAGACGGUACCUGACUAAGAAGCCCCGGCUAACUACGUGCCAGCAGCCGCGGUAAUACGUAGGGGGCGAGCGUUAUCCGGAUUCACUGGGUGUAAAGGGAGCGUAGACGGCCGUGCAAGCCAGGAGUGAAAGCCCGGGGCCCAACCCCGGGACUGCUCUUGGAACUGUGCGGCUGGAGUGCGGGAGGGGCAGGCGGAAUUCCUGGUGUAGCGGUGAAAUGCGUAGAUAUCAGGAGGAACACCGGCGGCGAAGGCGGCCUGCUGGACCGCGACUGACGUUGAGGCUCGAAAGCGUGGGGAGCGAACAGGAUUAGAUACCCGAGUAGUC
rnacentral:rRNA from 1 species